rnacentral:rRNA from 1 species
UACGUAGGGGGCAAGCGUUGUCCGGAUUUAUUGGGCGUAAAGAGUGUGUAGGCGGCUUUGUAGGUCUGUUGUGAAAACUCGAGGCUCAACCUCGAGAUGCCGAUGGAAACCAUCUGACUAGAGUCCGGAAGAGGAGAGUGGAAUUCCUGGUGUAGCGGUGAAAUGCGCAGAUAUCAGGAAGAACACCCGUGGCUAAGGCGGCUCUCUAGUACGGUACUGACGCUGAGACGCGAAAGCGUGGGGAGCGAACAGG